CCUACGGGAGGCAGCAGUGGGGAAUAUUGCGCAAUGGGCGAAAGCCUGACGCAGCGACGCCGCGUGAGGGAUGAAGGUCUUCGGAUCGUAAACCUCUGUCAGCAGGGAAGAACAGUGACUGUGCUAAUCAGCAGUGAAUUGACGGUACCUGCAAAGGAAGCACAGGCUAACUCCGUGCCAGCAGCCGCGGUAAUACGGAGGGUGCAAGCGUUGAUCGGAUUUACUGGGCGUAAAGCGCUCGUAGGCGGGAUGUCAAGUCGAGGGUGAAAUCCCCGCGCUCAACGUGGGAACUGCCUUUGAAACUGGCAGACUGGAGUGUGUGAGAGGAAAGUGGAAUGCGUGGUGUAGCGGUGAAAGGCGUAGAUAUCAGGAAGAACACCAGUGGCGAAGGCGACUUGCUGGGACAUGACUGACGCUGAGGAGCGAAAGCGUGGGGAGCAAACAGGAUUAGAUACCCGGGUAGUC
rnacentral:rRNA from 1 species